rnacentral:rRNA from 1 species
CGACCGGCGCACGGGUGAGUAACACGUAUGCAACCUGGCCGUCACAGGUGGAUAACCGGAAGAAAUUCCGACUAAUACAGCAUAACACUCCUGAGGGACAUCCUUCGGGAGUCAAAGGAGGCAACUCCGGUGACGGAUGGGCAUGCGGCGCAUUAGGUAAUUGGUAGGGUAACGGCCUACCAAGCCGACGAUGCGUAGGGGUUCUGAGAGGAAGGUCCCCCACAUUGGAACUGAGACACGGUCCAAACUCCUACGGAAGGCAGCAG